GAUGAACGCUGGCGGCGUGCUUAACACAUGCAAGUUGAACGGGAGGCUUGAUUUCGGUCGAGCCGAGAGUAGCGAACGGGUGAGUAACACGUAGCUCAUCUACCCUGGAGAGGGGGAUAACGGUUGGAAACGACCGCUAAUACCCCGUACGCUUACGGUUCGUAGGAAGCCGUAAGGAAAAGCCCUGGUGCUCUGGGAUGAGGCUGCGGUCCAUCAGCUAGUUGGUAGGGUAACGGCCUACCAAGGCGAAGACGGAUAGGGGGGCCUGAGAGGGUGACCCCCCACACUGGCACUGAGAUACGGGCCAGACUCCUACGGGAGGCAG
rnacentral:rRNA from 1 species